AAGUCGUAACAAGGUUUCCGUAGGUGAACCUGCGGAAGGAUCAUUAUUGGAUUCAGAAGCUUACACUGUGAACUGUCGCCGCGAGGCGCAUAUAUACACCGUCAUGAAUGUCAUUAAACAAACAAAACAACUUUCAGCAACGGAUCUCUUGGCUCUC
rnacentral:misc_RNA from 1 species